CGUCUUGGACAGCUUUCAAGUCUAGAGUUUUCAACCUGGUCCCGUGGGUGGGGGCUGGGGAUAAGGGAACAAAGUGGAAUCCGUGGUUCGUGGUUUUUAUGUUUCAUGAAUACACCCACGCAGUCCUUUAAUCCACACGUAUCAUUUCCUUCUCCUUUCUCCCCCUUCCCCCCUUCUCCAUCACUGCAGAUUCAUUCAUGUUGUUGUGAUCUGAAAGAGCAGAAAUGAAGACAGCACUGUGCUCCGCAGUCGCUGCUCUGUGUGCAGCAGCCCUCCUCUCCUCCAUCGAGGCUGAAGAAACACCUCUCCUUCCUUGCCCAGCUCCUUCUGUGCUCUGUUUCUCCCAGCUAGUCAACUGGACUGUAACUCCCUCUCUCUGUCUCUCUGGUGUGCUGUCCACACCACCCCACUGACAGGACACAGGCCAGCCGAUGUGGCCGCUGGGUGCAGCGCCCCGAGGAGCCCACUGCCACUGCUGCUGCCGGCGGGCAGCCCAGCACGGCUGGGGCUGUGGCGCUGCCCCCCUGACGGACCAAGAACGGCUGGUCUCUGGGCUUGUUUAGUAAUAUUGAGAGAGGAAACGGAAAACCCACCACCCAACAACCCACAGCUUUGAAAUAAAAUGCUCCAACAGAGU